CCUGGCUUGGGCACUCACUAGCUCUAGGACUUUGGCAGCCUGUGGAUCUCAUACCGAAUACCCGCCCCCAGCUCUCCUGCAGCCAAUCAGCUAUCGCACUUGGUCCAGGUGAGAGUGGCAACGUUUCUCACACCUACUUCCUUUCUGUUCCCUGCACUGGGUCCCAUCCCCUCCAUGUACAAUAGCUGCCUGGCAGGUCUCUUCCUUCUAGCAACUCCCUGCUCCUGCAGUCCCUCCGUGACCUUCCUGAUGGGGAGAUCCUCAAGACUUUUCCCAUGAGCUCGGGGUUCCUG
rnacentral:lncRNA from 10 species